rnacentral:rRNA from 1 species
UACGAAGGGGGCUAGCGUUGCUCGGAAUCACUGGGCGUAAAGGGUGCGUAGGCGGGUCUUUAAGUCAGGGGUGAAAUCCUGGAGCUCAACUCCAGAACUGCCUUUGAUACUGAGGAUCUUGAGUAUGGGAGAGGUGAGUGGAACUGCGAGUGUAGAGGUGAAAUUCGUAGAUAUUCGGAGGAACACCAGUGGCGAAGGCGGCUCACUGGUCCGGUACUGACGCUGAGGUGCGAAAGCGUGGGGAGCAAACAGG